rnacentral:tRNA from 1 species
GCAGAUGUAGCCUAGUGGUAAGACACCAGUCUCGAAAACUGGAACGCAUUGCGUGCGGGGGUUCAAAUCCCUCCAUCUGCG